CACCAUGUGUUUCUCAUUCCCAUCAUUCAAAGGAAUUGAGACAAGAUCUUCCAUUGGCCCGUCCUGUUCUUCUGUCAGGUCAUCAUGGGUAUCCAAUCCAUCAACCGGACAGGGGUCAGGCUGACAACUUCUUUGCGGGGCUAUAUUAUAGCAAUGCCUUGCCAGAGCUUGAUCUCCCUUGACUUAUCCGACCCCCUGGUUAGUAGAAAAUUUCAAUUUCAAAUGGUAGGUUGAUACUAUAGCCCGGAGGGCAUUGAGGUCAGGUCGGUCGAAAAUUGCGUUGCAGGCUGACGGCGCCUUCACCAUCAGGAAAUCCACAAG
rnacentral:lncRNA from 1 species